rnacentral:misc_RNA from 1 species
UGUGAUUUUUGAAUUGAAAUAGUGAAUAAAGGUAUUUGGAAUAUUUUAUAACUGGAGUAUGUUUCAGUGGACUUUUGCCGUGUCUAAAUGUUGUUGUUAUUUGUUUUGAAAUAGUGUGUAUCAUAUAUGUCCAGAUUGUUAAUUAUGCUAGUGAGCUAAGGCAUCUAGAUUUUUUUUUUGGAUAAAAAAUAGCUCUUUCAAUUGAACAUUUGACUGCCCCCUUUUGUCGUAUGAUCUUGGGCUUUUUGGGGCUAUGCCUGUUGGUGAUAAUCUUUUAAAUGUUUUUUGACCUAAGCCUGUAAAUCUGAGUUUAUGUUUGUUUAAAAAG